rnacentral:rRNA from 1 species
GACGAACGCUGGCGGCGUGCUUAACACAUGCAAGUCGAGCGGUAAGGCCCUUUCGGGGGUACACGAGCGGCGAACGGGUGAGUAACACGUGGGUGACCUGCCCUCAGCUCUGGGAUAAGCUUGGGAAACCGGGUCUAAUACUGGAUAUGACUCCAUGACGCAUGUUGUGGGGUGGAAAGCCUUGUGCGGCUGAGGAUGGGCCCGCGGCCUAUCAGCUUGUUGGUGGGGUGANGGCCUACCAAGGCGACGACGGGUAGCCGGCCUGAGAGGGCGACCGGCCACACUGGGACUGAGACACGGCCCAGACUCCUACGGGAGGCAGCAGUGGGGAAUCUUGCGCAAAUGGGCGAAAGCCUGACGCAGCGACGCCGCGUGAGGGAUGACGGCCUGGUGUAACGU